UCUCUCCCUUUUGCUUCCAAAUCAUACACAUUCAUUUAACAAGAAAUAAGCUUGACAUUUUUCUCCCCCUUAGUUUUAUAAUCAAAGUAUAUAUUCAAAUAAUCAACUAAAUAUAAGUAAUAACAUAAGACACAUUGCAUUUCAAAAAAGAUCAAAUUUUCAUUCAUUGCCAAAAUGAGAUUAUAAAAGUGAUCAAUACAUUAGUUCAUUCAAAAUGCAUGAGGGCUACAUGUACUAAAAAGAUGGAUUGCUAUGAAUACUAAAGCUUUAUAAAAGGAAUCCUAGCAUCCUAGGAUAGUAGGUCAAUAAAUUAGAAUAAAUAAAUUAAG
rnacentral:lncRNA from 1 species